GUUACUUUAUUGUCUAAGACAUAUUGGAAUAAAAUUUUGAUAUUUUUAAAGUAAAAUCAUCACAAAAAUCUAUACAUCUUUUGUUUAUAUAUUUCUGUAAAGACGGUAAUUAAAAUCUUUUAUAUUAUUUUACUGUUAAAUCUAGGUCGUUAACUAAGUAUUAAUCUAUGAGUUAGGUGUUAUAUUUUACUAAAAUAAUUUCAUNUUUUUUCCUUGUUCAGGUUAAGGAGGAAUAAAAUGCAAACAAUUUUGUACUAAAUACAGGUUUGAACUCGGGAUCCCUCCUAGAACAAUAAUAAGCAUGUAUAACCAUUUGGUCACGAGAAAAUAAAUUUAAGUUCAAAUACUAAAUGAAUAAACAUCGGUUUUACACAUUUCUUAAACAAUAUCACAUUUCAGUAUUUUACCUAUAAAUAUAAAUAAAAUAUACAUACACAAUUAAUGGUUUUAUAAUUAAGUCAGUACCUGUACAAUAUGAUUAAUAUGAGUAAUUAUAUAAUAAUAAUUGGCUACUUAGUGACUAAGUGACUAAUGCACUACAACAAUAUUACACUGUUAUUUUAUAGAGUAUCAAUGUAUUACAAAUUAUCAACAAUCGGCAAAUGAAUCAAUUAUUCUGAUCAGCCCACCGGGUUUUCAUCAGUACAUUGACGGCUUAGUCCGUCCUUGGAACUAUCAUACGGGUUCUUAUACAUUCUAUUAAAAAUAUAUCUUAGUUCGUGCUUUUAAAAUGUCUUCUCCGCGAUGAUGAUUGUUUAAUGUCGACGUGUUUGAAAAUAUCGGUUAAAUCAUUACAGAUAGUUUCAUAGUUGACAGUUGGAGUAGAAUAUGAACUAUUUUGUUUUAUCACUUUAGCUGAAUUAUAUACAAUAAAAAAAAAUUUGAGUAAAAAAUCUUUAGCUGCCAAACAAUUUUUUUUCAAAGUUUCACUAAAACUUUCAGCCCAUAUUGAAGAAAAUAGUUCUAUUUUGAGUGCAUUAUAUAUUUUAGCGUAUGUAGGACUUGGUAUGUUGUUAAGAAUAUUAGAAGGACCAUCGUCUUGGUUGAAAUUUUUAAUAGCGGUGAUUAUAUUUAAUAAAUUUUCUCGAGUUUUACAUUCGACUGGUAAAUUUAAAAAUAGUUUAUAUCGAGAUUUUUCGUACCAUGCAAGAGAGUUUCUCAACUUUGGUAUGUUUCUGUUUUUAUCCCUUCCGUAGACCGUUC